GGCGCUAUAGCCAAGUGGUUACGGCGACAGAUUAGAAUUACAACAUAAAGUCGCUCCUAUCUGUUCCUCUUUGAGGGCGCAGGUUCAAAUCCUGCUGGCGUCG